GAAAGGCUGCUUAUGCGAUCAUUUAUCCGCCUUGACUCCUAUGGUGUGUUCUUUCCUUUCUCUCACUCUUAUUUUAUAUUUAUGCUCUUUCAUUGAGGACAAUGUAUGUUUUAAGUGUGGGGGAGGGAACCAUUUAUUUGUUUUGUUUUCUUUAUUUUGUUUUCAGUUUUUCUCUGUUUUGGUUUUUGUUUGCUUUCUUAAAAAAAAUUGCAUGCUUUUUUCUUUGGUUUUUGAGUUACAAUUAUGAGUAUUUUUCUUAGUUCUCUUGACUAAAGUCUUGUGGUGUGGUGUGAAAAAUUUGUUGUGCAUUUUUAGUAAGAUAGGUAGGACUAGACUCUAAAUUGUAUAUCUUUAGCAGUAGAUCAUUAACCCUGAUGAGCUUUGAGCCUUAUAUGGAUAACAUACAAAAAUCCAUCUCUUUCUUUCUUGUGUGAUUCACUCGUGUCUGUUGGUCUCUAGAACUUGAAUUGACUCUUGUUGAUGUUGUUGUUUACUUGUG
rnacentral:lncRNA from 1 species